rnacentral:misc_RNA from 1 species
UAGCCGAACGCCAAUCCAUCGGGCGUUCGCUGCCAGGAACCCGGUGGAAAUCCGGGACGGUCGCGCCACUGUAAGCGGGGAGCUUCCUUCGCCACUGCACCAGCGGGAAGGCGUUUGGAACGAUAGCGACGAUCCGCAAGUCAGGAUACUGCAACGAACGCUUGCUACUGUA